GAUGAACGCUAGCGGCAGGCUUAAUACAUGCAAGUCGAGGGGCAGCACGGUUAGCAAUAACUGGUGGCGACCGGCGCACGGGUGCGUAACACGUAUACAAUCUACCUUAAACAGGGGGAUAGCCUUUCGAAAGAGAGAUUAAUACCCCGUAAUAAAUUGAACGGCAUCGUUUGAUUUUGAAAGCUCCGGCGGUUUGAGAUGAGUAUGCGUCUGAUUAGCUAGUUGGUGAGGUAACGGCUCACCAAGGCGACGAUCAGUAGGGGAUCUGAGAGGACUAACCCCCACACUGGUACUGAGACACGGACCAGACUCCUACGGGAGGCAGCAGUAAGGAAUAUUGGUCAAUGGAGGCAACUCUGAACCAGCCAUGCCGCGUGCAGGAUGACGGCCCUAUGGGUUGUAAACUACUUUUAUACAAGAGAAAACCCUGGUACGUGUACCAGGUUGAUAGUAUUGUAAGAAUAAGCAUCGGCUAACUUCGUGCCAGCAGCCGCGGUAAU
rnacentral:rRNA from 1 species